CGAUUUUCAACCUGAGGAUCACGGAGUUGGCCGAGGUGGUCACCAGCAGCGGAGCUCCUCGGAACCAACGCCGGACAAGUAGGUAGUCCUCUUGGUGGUCGGCAUAUGCUCGCAGAUCGUGAGGUGGUCGCCAAGUGGCAAGGAAGCACCCAUGACCUCCACAUGCUAUCGCAGAGCUGUAUCAGAGACAACUUCGGAGGAGGAACUUCAAACGGGCUCGUCAUCGUGGAUGGCGAUCGGCUACGAUGGCCGUGAUUGAUCGUGCCGUACCGCUGGGUAGACACGCCAGCGGAGUGCGCAUACAACCAGGUGCACAGAAAACUGGAAAAAAAAAGCCCGUGUGCUGGCUGCCGAGCCUGCGGGUGGUGCGCUGGGCCUCCAGACCGGUCGUGAACGAGGUGGUCCCUGCCGGCCCAGUGGUGCCGGUCGCCCUUCAGCAGCAGCUGCUGCCUCAGGCGGUCCCCCUGCCACAGGAGGAGGCCCCUCCCGACGUAGCAGCGCAGCUGCUGCACCAGGCUCCACGGGUGCCUCAUCCUCGUCCAUCGGCCAGUCCGGAGGCUCGUAGUCCUGCGUUUCUUCGGACUCCGGCACCUCAAGGAAUGCGACCCCGGGGUCCACUUCAACUUCGUAGUUCAGGACUCUGUCCUCUCCAACCUCCUCAUCAGUAAUUGGCUGCACGCUGACUGGUGCUGUGCUGGCCCUAAGGAAAAUACACCAGAAUGUCAGUCUUGUCACCCUUGUACAUAAUUUGAAACACUCUUAUUUGUAUUUCAUUCAUGCUUUUUGUGUGCAUGUGGAUCAAGCUCGACUCCUCAGCUCUCGGCCAUUGCUGCUAUUAGUUGUGAAAGCAUGUGGGCUUUAGUAAAGCCAGCCUACAGUGUGCAGGUCAAGCCCGAUCUUGACUGUUGCGGCUAUUAGUUGUGAAAACAGCUGGCUUCAUGGAGAUCCAGUGUGCAGUGUUGAUGCCGGCCAGAUAUUUCUGGUUGCUUGUCCCUACAAUUCUGUUUUAUGUCAAAGACUACCAUGUUGAGCAACAGAUCUGCUCAGGGUGAUUCCAAAUUUAGUGGUAGUGUCUACUGGUCGGUGCUUAAUAUAUUGUACUCACUGUACACCAUAUUUGAACUGACUGCUCAGGAUUACUUCUAAUUUCUUUUAUUUAUCAAUACUGUUCAUUCUUUCAAGGUGGUUUUAUUUCAGAAAAGACAUUCCUCAUGGUAUGCAAUGUGCAUGUUGGAAGUGUUGCAAGAGCUUGACGUCAGCAUAUGCUCAGCAGCAGCGAACUCAGCUGUGACAGUGAAUGCUACCUACGAAAUGAGCGAGAUUUCAGAGCACUAAUCUCGCACAAAUAUGUUUAUGCAACAGACUGUCUCAGCUUUGUGCCUUCAUUCAUUUGACUUGCCAUCUCAAUACAACGGACCUGAAGCAAAUGAGGUCCAAGCUUUGUGUUUGUGACCUUUGGGUCUACGUAGCAGUAGAAUUUUCAACAUAAAACAAUAUAUUUUUUUGCUGUUUGUCAUAGUUCAGCUUGACUUCAUAAAAGUCUAGCCUGUAUACGGUAGUCUUGCGAUAAUUCAAACUCGGAUAUUAUACUUCUGGUUAAUUCAAACAAAUUUCCUAAGUUUGGUUGUCUCGCCAUGUUCUUAGUGUAUCCAUAUGCCACUUAAACCGAAUUCCGUUUUCCUGCAAUUCAUAUUUUUUGUUCUUGCAGCCCUUUUGUUGAGUGUGCUUCUUUCCGAGCACCGGUACACUGCAGAGGGAACACCCAUGGAGCUGUUGCUUCUUUGCAAUGCACCGGUGCUCGGUGAUAAGCGCACUCAACGGGGCUCAUGCGGAAAUUUCUGCAGCAACUUGCGCAGACGCUGUGAUCUGGUAGCAUGGCGUACACCGAGCGCCGGCACAUUGCGGAGAAGCAACAGAUCCAUGGGUGUUCCCUCUGCAGUGCACCGAUGCUCAGAAAGAUGUGUACUAAACAAAAGGGCUGCAAGAACAAAAAAUAUGAAUUACAGGACAACGGCAUUGAAUUUAAGUGGCAUAGCAUGGGCAAGUCACAACGUCCUCACAAGUUGCUAUGAAAACUGUGGUGCAGUGCCCGCUUUUAUUGUUCACGUGUCCCCCGUUUAAUAGUUCACACUAGACAACUUCUUGACCCGAUGAACAAACUGAAUUUCGUUUUGAGUUGUCAUGUGCUCUUUGAACAGCCCACAACAAUGAACAUUUUUGAGGGAUAAAUAAACUUUUGUCUUACAUUUCA